rnacentral:rRNA from 1 species
CCUACGGGAGGCAGCAGUGGGGGAUAUUGCACAAUGGGGGGAACCCUGAUGCAGCGACGCCGCGUGGGUGAAGGAGCGUUUAGGCGCGUAAAGCCCUAUCGGCAGGGAAGAAGGAGGACGGUACCUGACCAAGAAGCCCCGGCUAACUACGUGCCAGCAGCCGCGGUAAUACGUCGGGGGCAAGCGUUAUCCGGAUUUACUGGGUGUAAAGGGGGCGCAGACGGCAGCGCAAGCCAGGAGUGAAAGCCCGGGGCCCAAACCCGGGACUGCUCUUGGAACUGCGCGGCUGGAGUGCAGGAGAGGGCGGUGGAACGCGAGGUGUAGCGGUAAAAUGCAUAGAUAUAUGGAAGAACACCAUUGGCGAAGGCGGCCGCCUGGCCUGUUACUGACGCUGAGGCACGAAAGCGUGGGGAGCGAAUAGGAUUAGAUACCCCUGUAGUC